rnacentral:rRNA from 1 species
AAUCCUUGGACAAUGGGCGCAAGCCUGAUCCAGCCAUGCCGGGGUGAGUGUGAAGGCCCUUAGGGUCGUAAAACUCUUUCGCCAGGGAUGAUAAUGACAGUACCUGGUAAAGAAACCCCGGCUAACUCCGUGCCAGCAGCCGCGGUAAUACGGAGGGGGGUUAGCGUUGUUCGGAAUUACUGGGCGUAAAGCGUACGUAGGCGGAUUAGAAAGUUAGGGGUGAAAUCCCAGGGGCUCAACCCUGGAACUGCCUCUAAAACUCCUAGUCUAGAGAUCGAGAGAGGUGAGUGGAAUUCCAAGUGUAGAGGUGAAAUUCGUAGAUAUUUGGAGGAACACCAGUGGCGAAGGCGGCUCACUGGCUCGAUACUGACGCUGAGGUACGAAAGUGUGGGGAGCAAACAGGAUUAGAUACCCUGGUAGUCCACACCGUA